rnacentral:rRNA from 1 species
GAUCAUGGCUCAGGACGAACGCUGGCGGCGUGCUUAACACAUGCAAGUCGAACGAGAAUCUGAUGAAGGAGUUUUCGGACAACGGAUUCAGAGGACAGUGGCGGACGGGUGAGUAACGCGUGAGGAAUCUGCCUUUCAGAGGGGGACAACAGUUGGAAACGACUGCUAAUACCGCAUGACACAUUGAGGUCGCAUGGCCUUGAUGUCAAAGAUUUAUCGCUGAAAGAUGG